rnacentral:rRNA from 1 species
CGAAAGCCUGACGGAGCAAUACCGCGUGAGGGAGGAAGGUCUUUGGAUUGUAAACCUCUUUUAUCAGGGAAGAAAAAAAUGACGGUACCUGAUGAAUAAGCAUCGGCUAACUCCGUGCCAGCAGCCGCGGUAAUACGGAGGAUGCGAGCGUUAUCCGGAAUGAUUGGGCGUAAAGCGUCCGCAGGUGGCUUGUCAAGUCCGCUGUCAAAGACUGGGGCUUAACUCCGGGCAGGCAGUGGAAACUGACAGGCUAGAGUGCAGGAGGGGUAGAGGGAAUUCCCGGUGUAGCGGUGAAAUGCGUAGAUAUCGGGAAGAACAUCGGUGGCGAAGGCGCUCUACUGGACUGCAACUGACACUCAGGGACGAAAGCUAGGGGAGCG